GCUUACUAGUGUUGGAGGUGGUUUGUUGUAAUUGUUUUAGUAGGCUGAUUGUUUUGUUGGGGUGAUGGGAGGAAUUUUUCUAACUCCUCUUUGUUUGAGUAUAUUUAUUUAUAUCUUAUUGAUCCAUUGAUUUUGAUUAUAAGACUAAAUUACCUUAGGGAUAACAGCGUUAUCUUCCUUGAGAGUUCUUAUUGGCAGGGAGGUUUGCGACCUCGAUGUUGGAUUAAGGUGAAUUUUCGGUGCAGAAGCUGAAAUUGAUUAGGUCUGUUCGACCUUUAAAAUCUUACAUGAUCUGAGUUCAGACCGGCGUGAGCCAGGUUGGUUUCUAUCUAUAAUAGUGUUUUAUACCUUAGUACGAGAGGACCGGGUAUUUGGAAUAAUUUUAAAUUUUAUGUGAUUUUUAUUAAUGUGGUU
rnacentral:rRNA from 1 species